rnacentral:rRNA from 1 species
AGUGAACGCUGGCGGUAGGCCUAACACAUGCAAGUCGAACGGCAGCACAGUAAGAGCUUGCUCUUACGGGUGGCGAGUGGCGGACGGGUGAGGAAUACAUCGGAAUCUACUUUUUCGUGGGGGAUAACGUAGGGAAACUUACGCUAAUACCGCAUACGACCUACGGGUGAAAGCAGGGGAUCUUCGGACCUUGCGCGAUUGAAUGAGCCGAUGUCGGAUUAGCUAGUUGGCGGGGUAAAGGCCCACCAAGGCGACGAUCCGUAGCUGGUCUGAGAGGAUGAUCAGCCACACUGGAACUGAGACACGGUCCAGACUCCUACGGGAGGCAGCAGUGGGGAAUAUUGGACAAUGGGCGCAAGCCUGAUCCAGCCAUACCGCGUGGGUGAAGAAGGCCUUCGGGUUGUAAAGCCCUUUUGUUGGGAAAGAAAAGCAGCAGGUUAAUACCCCGCUGUUCCGACAGUACCCAAAGAAUAAGCACCGGCUAACUUCGUG